rnacentral:rRNA from 1 species
GACGAACCGUGCGAACGUUGUUCGGAAUCACUGGGCUUAAAGGGCGCGUAGGCGGCCUGCCAAGUCCGGGGUGAAAUCCUCCAGCUUAACUGGAGAAGUGCCUCGGAUACUGGCGGGCUCGAGGGAGGCAGGGGUCGUGGGAACUUCCGGUGGAGCGGUGAAAUGCGUUGAUAUCGGAAGGAACGCCGGUGGCGAAAGCGCACGACUGGUCCUCUUCUGACGCUGAGGCGCGACAGCGUGGGGAUCAAACAGG